rnacentral:rRNA from 1 species
UACUCGUGGCAACCGAUAUUUCGGCUCUCGUAUCAAUGAACAACAUAGCGAAAUGUGAUACUCGGUGUGUAUUUCAAAAUCCCUUGAACCAUCGAUCGAGUCUUUGAACAUAAAUUACACCCAAACCUUCUGGCAAAGGGCAUAUCUGUUUGGGUGUCA